GAAAUGCGAUAAGUAGUGUGAAUUGCAGAAUUCAGUGAAUCAUCGAAUCUUUGAACGCACAUUGCGCCCCUUGGUAUUCCAUGGGGCAUGCCUGUUCGAGCGUCAUUUGUACCCUCAAGCUCUGCUUGGUGUUGGGUGUUUGUCCUAUCCUUGCGACUGGACUCGCCUUAAAGUUAUUGGCAGCCGGCAUGUUGGCCUUGGAGCGCAGCACAUUUUGCAAUCCAUGCCUUUAUACUGGCAUCCAUUAAGCCUUUUUUAUCACUUUUGACCUCGGAUCAGGUAGGGAUACCCGCUGAACUUAA
rnacentral:misc_RNA from 1 species